AGUGAACGCUGGCGGCGUGCUUAACACAUGCGAGUCGAACGAGAACGGGAUAUAGCUUGCUAUAUUUGUCAGCUAAGUGGCGCACGGGUGAGUAAUGUAUAGGUAAUAUGCCUCUUACUAAGGGAUAACAAUUGGAAACGAUUGCUAAUACCUUAUAUGCCUUUAAGACUAAAGUCUGCAAGGAAAAGAUUUAUUGGUAAGAGAUUAGCCUGUAUUGUAUCAGCUAGUUGGUGAGGUAAUGGCUCACCAAGGCUAUGACGCAUAACUGGUUUGAGAGGAUGAUCAGUCACACUGGAACUGAGACACGGUCCAGACUCCUACGGGAGGCAGCAGUGGGGAAUAUUGCACAAUGGACGAAAGUCUGAUGCAGCAACGCCGCGUGGAGGAUGACACAUUUCGGUGCGUAAACUCCUUUUAUAUAGGAAGAUAAUGACGGUACUAUAUGAAUAAGCACCGGCUAACUCCGUGCCAGCAGCCGCCGUAAAAC
rnacentral:rRNA from 1 species